GCCUACAGCCAUGCCACCCUGAACAAGCCCGAUCCCGUCUGAUCUUGGAAGCUAAGCAGGGUCGGGCCUGGUCAGUAGUUGGAUGGGAGACCACCUAGGAAGACCAGGUGCUAUAGGUG
rnacentral:rRNA from 1 species